UACAGAGGAGCCAAGCGUUGUCCGGAUUGACUGGGCGUAAAGCGCACGCAGGCGGUGGUGCGCGUGGGGUGUGAAAUCUGGCCGCUUAACGGCCAGGCGCCAUCCCAUACGGCACGACUGGAGGGCUGCAGAGGUCGAUGGAAUUGCCGGUGUAGUGGUGAAAUGCGUAGAUAUUGGGAGGAACACCAGUGGCGAAGGCGGCUCACUGGACCGGAACUGACGCUGAGGCGCGAAAGCGUGGGGAGCAAACAGGG
rnacentral:rRNA from 1 species